rnacentral:rRNA from 1 species
CCCUACGGGGGGCAGCAGUGGGGAAUAUUGCACAAUGGGCGCAAGCCUGAUGCAGCGACGCCGCGUGGGGGAUGACGGCCUUCGGGUUGUAAACCUCUUUCACCAUCGACGAAGCCGCAAGGUGACGGUAGGUGGAGAAGAAGCACCGGCCAACUACGUGCCAGCAGCCGCGGUAAUACGUAGGGUGCGAGCGUUGUCCGGAAUUACUGGGCGUAAAGGGCUUGUAGGUGGUUUGUCGCGUUGUUCGUGAAAUGCCACAGCUUAACUGUGGGCGUGCGGGCGAUACGGGCAGACUGGAGUACUGCAGGGGAGACUGGAAUUCCUGGUGUAGCGGUGGAAUGCGCAGAUAUCAGGAGGAACACCGGUGGCGAAGGCGGGUCUCUGGGCAGUAACUGACGCUGAGGAGCGAAAGCGUGGGGAGCGAACAGGAUUAGAUACCCCCGUAGUCCC